GUCGAUAUACUCAAAUGGGAAAGCAGAAAAACCCUUUUAAAACAUUUUUCAUCUCGGGUUAUAUAACCCAAAACAGACUUUCUUUUAGUCUAAAACAGGGUACCAAACCAGAUAAGAAAAAUGGUCAAAAGUUUUUUGAUGCACAGGAUCCUUGCAAAAGGCAAGUACAGAGCAUACUUCCUUAGGUUUCAAAAUGAACAAAUUUAAUUCUUUAUUCUUUUUCUUUCUCUAGAGAGCUUCAUUUGCAGGGAGAGGAGGGAGGUUUAGGGAGUCAUAGUGAUAAAAACACACGAGAGUUUUUUGCUUCAAACUUCUAUAUUACAAACAAGGGGAGAAUUAUUUAUAUAGGAGAAUUCUCAGUGAAGAUAGGACAAGACCCCUAUCUUUUUUCAAAAGCAAAAGUAAAGAUACGACAACAUAGAUCAUGACUUCUCAAGUGAUCAUGACCUGUAGCACACAUUUUUAGAAAGCUAAGCCCGCCGAUCAAGACUUCUUACAAAGACUUUAAGAUAAAGCAUGCUUACAAAGACUUUAAGAUAAAACAUGCUUACAAAGACUUUUACAACUGGCAAAAGCCAAAUCGUAAGGCAAGCCAAGACAAAACCAUAAAGUAAAAUAUAAUUAUUACAACAAGACAAACAACUUUAUUGAAAGCGGAGAUUCAUGUAUUCGUCUUCGGAUGAGCUUUCAGUUUCAUAGGGAUUGUCACAGUUGGAUUUUGGAAAAAAAGUUUUGGAGAGCUUUGGAUGCUUACAGUGGGGACCACGGCAAGGGGGAUAAGGACAAUCUCUGCGGUAUCCUAGCCUAGGGGAUGUUUGAGUGGCUUUGUCAACUUUGGAGGGUUUAGUGGUCAUGUCAGCUUUGGGAGGUUGGGAUGAGGAUCCUGGUUCAUUCAUGGAUGGGUAUGGCUCUGAUACCAUUUAAGGUACGUGACUUGUUAUCCGACAGUGCCAAUAACAGCAUCUUGGUACUGUUUAAACCGGGUAUCAAGCAUAGUAAGGCGAGCAGUAACCGGUAAUCCUUUUCUACCAUGAAGAGUAAGGAUUAAUCUGAUGCUUCCAAGAUGAAGAUGAGUGUAACAUUCUCGUUUCCAAUUGGAAAUUAACUCUGAAGGUAUCUACCAUGAAGAGUAAGGAUUAAUCUGAUGCCUCCAAGAUGAAGAUGAGUGUAACAUUCUCGUUUCCAAUUGGAAAUUAACUCUGAAGGUAUUUCGAGAGUGACAUAUUGCUCAGCAGGGGUUGCUUGGAGAGAACAUUGAUCCAAGCGAGAAGACUGAAUAUAUUCUUUAGGGUGAGGUCUGCGGGUGGAUAUGAGAGUACGGAUAUUGCGGGUAAAAGAACUGGGGCAUUUGUAGAGGUGGUAAGGGCUGAGGAGAGGGUAAGAAGAUUCACUGAUUUGGGCGGAUUCAGGGAUGUAGGAGUAUUCUACAAGAUUUUCAAUUUUAUUAGUGGUAUGAGAAGAGCAAGAUUUGGGCAAAGAAAGAGUAGAAGAAAGAGUAACAGGAGGGGAAGAGGAAGUGGAAGCCAUGAAUGUGAAAUUCUCGCUGCGCCUGAAGUUCUA
rnacentral:lncRNA from 1 species